rnacentral:rRNA from 1 species
CCUACGGGUGGCAGCAGUGAGGAAUAUUGGUCAAUGGACGCAAGUCUGAACCAGCCAUGCCGCGUGCAGGAAGACGGCUCUAUGAGUUGUAAACUGCUUUUGUACGAGAGUAAACGCAGAUACGCGUAUCUGUCUGAAAGUAUCGUACGAAUAAGGAUCGGCUAACUCCGGGCCCGCCGCCGCGGUAAUACGGAGGAUUCAAGCGUUAUCCGGAUUUAUUGGGUUUAAAGGGUUCGUAGGCGGUAGGAUAAGUUCGAGGUGAAAUCCCGAGGCUCAACCUCGGAAUUGCCGCUGAUACUGUUCGGCUAGAGAGUAGUUGCGGUAGGCGGAAUGUAUGGUGUAGCGGUGAAAUGCUUAGAGAUCACACAGAACACCGAUUGCGAAGGCAGCUUACCAGGCUACUUCUGACGUUGAGGCACGAAAGCGUGGGGAGCAAACAGGAUUAGAUACCCUUGUAGUC